CGCCUUGCCAGCCCGCUCAGAAACUUAAAGGAAUUGACGGGGCCCGCACAAGCGGUGGAGCAUGUGGUUUAAUUCGAUGAUACGCGAGGAACCUUACCUGGGCUCGAACGUAAGAUGACUGUAGGUGAAAGCUUACAUCUCUUCGGAGCAUUUUACGAGGUGCUGCAUGGUUGUCGUCAGCUCGUGCCGUGAGGUGUCGGGUUAAGUCCCAUAACGAGCGCAACCCCUACCUUAGUUGCCAUCAGGUUAAGCUAGGGACUCUAAAGGAACUGCCUACGCAAGUAGUGAGGAAGGCGGGGAUGACGUCAAAUCAGCACGGCCCUUACGUCCAGGGCUACACACGUGCUACAAUGGCCGAUACAGAGGGCAGCUACCUGGUGACAGGAUGCAAAUCUCCAAAGUCGGUCUCAGUUCGGAUCGGAGUCUGCAACCCGACUCCGUGAAGUUGGAUUCGCUAGUAAUCGCGCAUCAGCCAUGGCGCGGUGAAUACGUUCCCGGGCCUU
rnacentral:rRNA from 1 species